rnacentral:rRNA from 1 species
GACGAACGCUGGCGGCGUGCUUAACACAUGCAAGUCGAACGGAAAGGCCCCCUUGUGGGGUACUCGAGUGGCGAACGGGUGAGUAACACGUGAGUAACCUACCCUUGACUUUGGGAUAACUUCAGGAAACUGGGGCUAAUACCGGAUAGGAGCUCCUGCUGCAUGGUGGGGGUUGGAAAGUUUCGGCGGUUGGGGAUGGACUCGCGGCUUAUCAGCUUGUUGGUGGGGUAGUGGCUCACCAAGGCUUUGACGGGUAGCCGGCCGGAGAGGGUGACCGGCCACAUUGGAACUGAGAGACGGCCCAGACCCCUACGGGGGGCAGCGGUGGGGAAUAUUGCACAAGGGGCGGAAGCCUGAUGCAGCAACCCCGCGGGCGGGAUGACGGCCUUCGGGUUGUAACCCGCUUUCCCCUGUGACGAAGGGGGGGUGACGGUAAUGGGUAAAGAAGCACCGGCUAACUACGU